rnacentral:rRNA from 1 species
UCGCCCUGUUUUUACAAAAACAUGUCCUCUUGAUAAUAUUUUGAGGUCUAGUCUGCUCACUGAAAUUUUUAAUAGCCGCGGUAUUUUGACCGUGCAAAGGUAGCAUAAUCAUUAGUCUUUUAAUUGAAGGCUGGAAUGAAUGGCUGGACGAGAAAUUAACUGUCUCUUAAUAAUAUAUAAAAUUUAACUUUUAAGUUAAAAGGCUUAAAUUUAUUUUUAGGACGAGAAGACCCUAUAGAGCUUGACAUAAAUAAAUAAAUUUGAUUUUUAGUUAAUUUUAUCAUAUUAAUUGUUGAUGUUUUGUUGGGGUGACAUGAAAAAUAAGUAAACUUUUCAUUUAUUAAAUCAUUGAUUUAUGUUUAUUAUGAUCCAUAAUUUAUGAUCAAAAGAUAAAGUUACCUUAGGGAUAACAGCGUAAUUGUUUUUGAGAGUUCAUAUCAACAAAAUAGAUUGCGACCUCGAUGUUGGAUUAAGAAUAAUUUUGGGUGCAGUAGUCCAUAGAUUAGGUC